rnacentral:sRNA from 1 species
UAAUAUCAUAGUCGCAAGAUUGACAAAA